UACGAAGGGGGCUAGCGUUGCUCGGAAUCACUGGGCGUAAAGCGCACGUAGGCGGAUUGCUAAGUCAGGGGUGAAAUCCUGGAGCUCAACUCCAGAACUGCCUUUCAUACUGGCAAUCUCGAGUCCGGAAGAGGUGAGUGGAACUCCUAGUGUAGAGGUGGAAUUCGUAGAUAUUCGGAAGAACACCAGUGGCGAAGGCG
rnacentral:rRNA from 1 species